UAGUGGCGAACGGGUGAGUAACACGUGAGCAAUCUGCCCCUGACUCCGGAAUAACUACGGGAAACUGUAGCUAAUACCGGAUAUGCGCCGAACAGGCAUCUGUAUCGGUGGGAAAGAAUUUCGGUCAGGGAUGAGCUCGCGGCCUAUCAGCUUGUUGGUGAGGUAACGGCUCACCAAGGCGACGACGGGUAGCCGGCCUGAGAGGGUGACCGGCCACAUUGGGACUGAGACACGGCCCAGACUCCUACGGGAGGCAGCAGUGGGGAAUAUUGCACAAUGGGCGCAAGCCUGAUGCAGCAACGCCGCGUGAGGGAUGACGGCCUUCGGGUUGUAAACCUCUUUUAGCAGGGAAGAAGCGAAAGUGACGGUACCUGCAGAAAAAGCGCCGGCUAACUACGUGCCAGCAGCCGCGGUAAUACGUAGGGCGCAAGCGUUGUCCGGAAUUAUUGGGCGUAAAGAGCUCGUAGGCGGUCUGUCGCGUCUGCUGUGAAAUCCCGAGGCCUCAACCUCGGGCUUGCAGUGGGUACGGGCAGACUAUAGUGCGGUAGGGGAGAAUGGAAUUCCUGGUGUAGCGGUGGAAUGCGCAGAUAUCAGGAGGAACACCGAUGGCGAAGGCAGUUCUCUGGGCCGUAACUGACGCUGAGGAUCGAAAGCGUGGGGGAGCGAAACAGGAUUAGAU
rnacentral:rRNA from 1 species